AGAGUUUGAUCCUGGCUCAGGAUGAACGCUAGCUACAGGCUUAACACAUGCAAGUCGAGGGGCAGCAUGGUCUUAGCUUGCUAAGGCCGAUGGCGACCGGCGCACGGGUGAGUAACACGUAUCCAACCUGCCGUCUACUCUUGGACAGCCUUCUGAAAGGAAGAUUAAUACAAGAUGGCAUCAUGAGUCCACAUGUUCACAUGAUUAAAGGUAUUCCGGUGGACGAUGGGGAUGCGUUCCAUUAGAUAGUAGGCGGGGUAACGGCCCACCUAGUCUUCGAUGGAUAGGGGUUCUGAGAGGAAGGUCCCCCACAUUGGAACUGAGACGCGGUCCAAACUCCUACGGGAGGCAGCAGUGAGGAAUAUUGGUCAAUGGGCGAGAGCCUGAACCAGCCAAGUAGCGUGAAGGAUGACUGCCCUAUGGGUUGUAAACUUCUUUUAUAAAGGAAUAAAGUCGGGUAUGCAUACCCGUUUGCAUGUACUUUAUGAAUAAGGAUCGGCUAACUCCGUGCCAGCAGCCGCGGUAAUACGGAGGAUCCGAGCGUUAUCCGGAUUUAUUGGGUUUAAAGGGAGCGUAGAUGGAUGUUUAAGUCAGUUGUGAAAGUUUGCGGCUCAACCGUAAAAUUGCAGUUGAUACUGGAUAUCUUGAGUGCAGUUGAGGCAGGCGGAAUUCGUGGUGUAGCGGUGAAAUGCUUAGAUAUCACGAAGAACUCCGAUUGCGAAGGCAGCCUGCUAAGCUGCAACUGACAUUGAGGCUCGAAAGUGUGGGUAUCAAACAGGAUUAGAUACCCUGGUAGUCCACACGGUAAACGAUGAAUACUCGCUGUUUGCGAUAUACAGCAAGCGGCCAAGCGAAAGCGUUAAGUAUUCCACCUGGGGAGUACGCCGGCAACGGUGAAACUCAAAGGAAUUGACGGGGGCCCGCACAAGCGGAGGAACAUGUGGUUUAAUUCGAUGAUACGCGAGGAACCUUACCCGGGCUUAAAUUGCAGAUGAAUUACGGUGAAAGCCGUAAGCCGCAAGGCAUCUGUGAAGGUGCUGCAUGGUUGUCGUCAGCUCGUGCCGUGAGGUGUCGGCUUAAGUGCCAUAACGAGCGCAACCCUUGUUGUCAGUUACUAACAGGUUCCGCUGAGGACUCUGACAAGACUGCCAUCGUAAGAUGUGAGGAAGGUGGGGAUGACGUCAAAUCAGCACGGCCCUUACGUCCGGGGCUACACACGUGUUACAAUGGGGGGUACAGAGGGCCGCUACCACGCGAGUGGAUGCCAAUCCCCAAAACCUCUCUCAGUUCGGACUGGAGUCUGCAACCCGACUCCACGAAGCUGGAUUCGCUAGUAAUCGCGCAUCAGCCACGGCGCGGUGAAUACGUUCCCGGGCCUUGCACACACCGCCCGUCAAG
rnacentral:rRNA from 1 species